ACCCCAGCGACGCCUUCGCCUCCUUUGCCAUGUCAGCCGAGCCGCUCUCGGGAAAAAUCGAGGCGCCGUCAGCUAAAGCGCCAGCCGCCACCCAGGCUGACACAGGCCCGUCGUCAGCGCCGCCACCUGCCGUCGCCUCCAUCCUGGACGACCUCCCCCCGCCGACGCAGACGGAGGCCAAGCCCGUCUCGCCCGUGCUCGGCGGCGCUGACGACGUCCUGGCCGCUGAGGCCACCAAGUUCCUGGCCUCCGAGGGCAAGGGUGCCGGGGGACCCCACAUCGAGACCCUGGCCUCCUUUGACCCCUUCGGCGCCAAGCCUCCUGCGGUGGAGGCCCUGGCCGAGCCCCUCGUGGCUGCAUGGAUCUGGGCGUGGCAAUCGCUUCGGGUUUCUAUCUUUGACUUGUUUUUGUCGGAACGGAGGCUAUUUCUCUGUAUUUGAGAGCAGUAGUUAGGGCGCACCAUAUCGAGACGGGGGCAUUCGUACUGCGACGCUAGAGGUGAAAUUCUUAGACCGUCGCAUGACGACCUACUGCGAAAGCAUCUGCCAAGGAUGUUUUCAUUGAUCAAGAACGAAAGUUAGAGGUUCGAAGGCGAUCAGAUACCGCCCUAGUUCUAACCUUAAACGAUGCUGACUAGCGAUCCGCCGCAGUUAUUCCCAUGACCCGGCGGGUAGCUUCCGGGAAACCAAAGUCUUUGAGUUCCGGGGGAAGUAUGGUUGCAAAGCUGAAACUUAAAGGAAUUGACGGAAGGGCACCACCAGGAGUGGAGCCUGCGGCUCAAUUUGACUCAACACGGGGAAACUCACCAGGCCAGGACACCGGAAGGAUUGACAGAAUGAAGGCUCUUUCUCGAUUCGGUGGGUGGUGGUGAGGCUCUUUCUCGAUUCGGUGGGUGGUGGUGCAUGGCCGUUCUUAGUUGGUGGAGUGAUCUGUCUGGUUAAUUCCGAUAACGAACGAGACUCUAGCCUGCUAAAUAGUCGACGGAUCUCAACCCCGUUGCCCCCGUUGUCGUUCGCGGCGAUGCGGGGCGCGGGUUCCCCGAAACCCGGUCGUCGUGCGGGCCUCCACCGUCGGUCGGUUAGCGCCGCCGGCGGCGCGCCCCGCGGCGCCGGAAACUGGCGUCCGCUUCGCAGUCUUCUUCUUAGAGGGAUAAGCGGCAGCAAAAAAUAUACUAGCCGCACGAGAGUUUGAGCCAUAACAGGUCUGUGAUGCCCUUAGAUGUUCUGGGCCGCACGCGCGCUACAAUGGAGAGUUCAGCGAGCUGGCCCUGCUCCGAGAGGAGCGGGUAACCUCGUGAAAGCUGUCCUUAAAGGGGAUUGGGGCUUGCAAAUGUUCCCCAUGAACGAGGAAUUCCCAGUAGGCGCAAUUCACCAGAUUGCGCCGAUUUAGUCCCUGCCCUUUGUACACACCGCCCGUCGCUACUACCGAUUGAAUGGUCUAGUGAGGGCACCGGACUGGCGCCCUUGGAGCCGCUACCGCCUCGGCGGGCAGCGCCCUCGGGUCGACGGAAAGGUGUCCAAGCUGGGUCAUUUAGAGGAAGUAAAAGUCGUAACAAGGUUUCCGUAGGUGAACCUGCGGAAG
rnacentral:rRNA from 1 species